UUUCCGUAGGUGAACCUGCGGAAGGAUCAUUACAGAAUGCGGCUUUCACGGCCAAUUUCCAUCCCUGUUUACUCUGACUAUGCUUCGGUGCUUUGGCACCGGCGCCUUUAUAAAACUCUUCAAACUGUUGUCUUACAAAAAGCGAAUUUAUUAAAACUUUCAACAACGGAUCUCUUGGUUCCCGCAUCGAUGAAGAACGCAGC
rnacentral:misc_RNA from 1 species